AGCGAACGCUGGCGGCAGGCCUAACACAUGCAAGUCGAACGAACUCUUCGGAGUUAGUGGCGGACGGGUGAGUAACACGUGGGAACGUGCCUUUAGGUUCGGAAUAACUCUGGGAAACUUGUGCUAAUACCGAAUGUGCCCUUCGGGGGAAAGAUUUAUCGCCUUUAGAGCGGCCCGCGUCUGAUUAGCUAGUUGGUGAGGUCAAGGCUCACCAAGGCUACGAUCAGUCGCUGGUCUGAGAGGAUGACCAGCCACAUUGGGAAUGAGACACGGCCCAAACCCCUACGGGAGGCGGCAGUGGGGAAUCUUGCGCAAUGGGCGAAAGCCUGACGCAGCCAUGCCGCGUGGAUGAUGAAGGUCUUAGGAUUGUAAAAUCCUUUCACCGGUGAAGAUAAUGACUGUAGCCGGAGAAGAAGCCCCGGCUAACUUCGUGCCAGCCGCCGCGGUAACAC
rnacentral:rRNA from 1 species